rnacentral:rRNA from 1 species
UACAGAGGUCUCAAGCGUUUGUUCGGAUUCAUUGGGCGUAAAGAGCGCGCAGGCGGUCGAUCAAGUCAAGUGUGAAGGCCCCCGGCUCAACUGGGGAGGGUCAUUCGAUACUGAUCGACUCGAAGGCAGGAGAGGGUAGUGGAAUUCCCGGUGUGAGUGGUGAAAUGCGUAGAUAUCGGGAGGAACACCAGUGGCGAAGGCGACUACCUGGCCUGUUCUUGACGCUGAGGCGCGAAAGCUAGGGGAGCAAACGGG